GAUGAACGCUGGCGGCGUGCCUAAUACAUGCAAGUCGAGCGAACGGACGAGAAGCUUGCUUCUCUGAUGUUAGCGGCGGACGGGUGAGUAACACGUGGAUAACCUACCUAUAAGACUGGGAUAACUUCGGGAAACCGGAGCUAAUACCGGAUAAUAUUUUGAACCGCAUGGUUCAAAAGUGAAAGACGGUCUUGCUGUCACUUAUAGAUGGAUCCGCGCUGCAUUAGCUAGUUGGUAAGGUAACGGCUUACCAAGGCAACGAUGCAUAGCCGACCUGAGAGGGUGAUCGGCCAAACUGGAACUGAGACAAGGUCCAGACUCCUACGGGAGGCAGCAGUAGGGAAUCUUCCGAAAUGGGCGAAAGCCUGAAGGAGCAAAGCCGCGUGAGGGAUGAAGGUCUUCGGAUCGUAAAACUCUGUUAUUAGGGAAGAACAUAUGUGUAAGUAACUGUGCACAUCUUGAAGGUACCUAAUCAGAAAGCCACGGCUAACUACGUG
rnacentral:rRNA from 1 species